rnacentral:lncRNA from 1 species
AAUUUUAAAAUCUCAAUGAUAAGAGAUCACGUGAUCUUAAAAUCAUAUAUUGAAUAUGCCAUUUCAAGUUCAACAUACCUUGAAAUCAUAUAUUCAAGAAUCGAUUUUGCCGCCCAAUCUGCCCAUCUGCCAUGUUCUGGGAAAUAAAUUAGGAUAGGGGUAGGUGGGAAUUAACUUUUUAAAAAUUAAUAUUUAGAAAAAAACCCUAAAGUAUUUUGGUGUCUCCAUUGAAUACUACGUCCCUAGUGGCAUCCCC